CAAUCAGAGAGUAGUUCCAGUUUACACCAUGCAACAGUUUACUAUAAGAACAGUAUGGCCGUAGAGUUAUAACUUGUUUUUUUAAAUGCUGGAAGUAUCUUUAACCAGAAGGAUUUUGAUAAUUGUAUAAAGAAAUGUCAAAUAUUGUAGAUUCAUGGAUUAUACAUUGACAAGUAAAACAUUUGACAUUCAGUGAAUUUUUAUCUUCAUACAUCUACCUGAACAGUACAACUUGAAUUUUACUAUUAUGAUCUAUAUUUAGUGAGAAAAAAGUGAUUUAAGUCUAAAGAUAUUAGGUUAAAAAAGUAACAUCUUUUUACAGCUGAAGUGCCAAUAGAGGUUGAGGAUGAUUUUUUUACAGUACUAACAGUAUUAUUUGCUAUCCUGGGACUAUCUGUAGCAUUUUUUGAUAAUUCAGCUAACCUGAUAUUAAAAACAACUGGAAAAAAACUAUUCCAAUCUGCUGAGCUUAGAUCUCAGGAUAAGUUUUUGAACAGAAUAAACUAGUCCAAGAUGAAGUGCAUUUAAAGUCAAGUUGAUUUAUUUAGACACCACCAUCAGGU